rnacentral:lncRNA from 1 species
CCAGAGGUCAGUGGCUGGGGGCCAGAGGUUGGGAAAUGAGAGGCACAGAGACAGAGAGAGACAGGGCGUCCUGGCCAGGUCUCCUGACUGGUGCCUCGCCUCCUACAUGCCCUUAGAUGUCCUCUAGGCCUACAGUCUGGAGCCCCCUCCUCCAGGGGGCCCUCUGGAACUUCCCCACCAGGUGCACCUCUCCUGCGCACUCGUCUGUCUUAGCCGCCAGGCAAGUAGCCCACGACAAGUGCAGGGCCGGGUGCGUCCUGAGCACCUGCUCGUGGCUUCUUAGUGACGGCCGGCACUGAGUUCCAAGAGCAACAGAUUCCCAAGUAGGUGCUGCUGGGGAGUUGGAGCACGAGGUGAGGCGGGAGCACGAGUGAGUUGAAUUCACGUUCUUUUGACCUUCCUCGGUGGGAAUCCUGUCCCUCUAAAUCAGGGAUGCUGGGAGAGACUGCAGCUGUGCGGGCGGGAGCCAGGGCCCCUGCCCUCGGGGCAGGGGACGCCUACCUGCUCGCCUUGCACCUGCCCCGACAGAGCCCAGUUUGUUCCUCAGAGGCGGGGAAGCUCCUGGGAGUCAUGUGAGCUCAGCGGCAGGGGCUCCUGCGCCCAGCAGUGGAGGACGGCGGCCGCCCAAAAAGACGUGUCCACAUCCUCACCCCGGUGCCUGGGAAUGGGACCUUAUUUGGAAAAAGGGGUCUCUGCAGAUGUCUUGAAUUACGGAUCCUGACAUGAGCGGGUCACCCUGGAUUAUCUGGGGGGGGGGUCCCUAAAGCCAAUGACCACCGUCCUCAUAGGAGAGGCACAGAGGACAGACAGGCAGACACAGGGUGAGGCCACGGGACUCGAGCGAGGGGGCCACAGCCCAGGAGAGCCCGGAGACAGCAGGAGCCGAAGGAGGCAGGAAGCACCCUCCCCGAGAGCACCCGAGGGUGAGCACGGCCCUGCCCACACCUGCAUUCUGGACUUCCAGCCUCAGAACACUGAGAAUAAAGUUCUGCUAGGUUUUUAAAAAAAAAAAAUUUUAAUGUUUAUUUAUUUUUGAGAGAGAGAGAGAGAGAGCGGGAGCGGAGGAAGGGCAGAAAGACAGGGAGACACAGAAUCCGAAGCAGGUUCCAGGCUCCGAGCCAUCAGCACAGAGCCCGACGCGGGGCUCGAACCCACAGACCGCGAGAUCACGACCUGAGCCAAAAUCAAGAGUUGGUCGCUCAACGCUCAACGGACGGAGCCCCCCAGGCGCCCCUGAGCAAUUCUCCUCAAACUGGAGCUUUGUGCCGGGGCAGCAUUGUAGCCAAGGAGGUUUAUCCGGGGCACGAUUAUUGCUAAUUGAAGAGUUUCCCCGGGGCACCAGGCUGGCUCGGGUCGGUGGAACAUCCGACCCUUGACCUCAGGGGCAUGAGUUGGAGCCCCACGUUGGGCAUGGAGCCGACUUUGGAAAACAACACCUUUUGGAUUCUUUGUAACUUGUUUUUCUCUCAGAAUAUUCUCCCCAUGGAAGAUGCAUCCAAUUCCAAAAAUGUCCUGUGUCCUCCACCCCCCAGGAACCCUCUACUCGGGGUUCUCUCGCACCCCAAGAUACAGCAGGCUAAGACAGCGAACGGACCCACGGUCAGAGAGUCAGGAGAAGCCCGGUGAUGCGAUUACGGCUGAGGGUCCCUGUGACCUUGUGCCAAAGCGUCAGCCAGGCUCAGGGUCCUUCGAAGACUUGACUGGGGCGGGGGGAUUCACAGGCCGCCAGCUGCUGCUGGCCGCGGGCAGGACGCCUGGGCUCCGGGCCACACUGACCGCCUGCCUGGCCAGGCUGCUUCAGUGUCCUCACUGCCUGGGUGGCGGCUUCCCCGGGGCGAGGGGUCUGAGGCAGCAAGGUAUAUGCCAACACCCCCACUGUGCCGGGAGGUGGGGUCUCUGGGGGCCCCCUGGGGGCCUGGCCACCACGGCCGCAUGGGAAUAAACCACGGCGGGAAACACUGAGGUCAGACCCAGGGCAGAACUUUCUUACUGUAGCACCAAAGCCUGGAACCUUCCGGGUCUCCGGGUCCCUGCCACAUAGUCCCUUCACGACUCCCACGGGGGCUCUUCGUGGGGGACGAUUCCUCGGCGCCUAACGGAUGGCCGACCUGGGUCUCCGAGGGGGUGAGCAACCCCUCAGAGCCACUCGCUGUAGGCCCGGAACCUUCUUUCCGAUUCCACAUCUCAGCCUUCAGCCACCCUCUGAUGCCACUGCCCACAGCGUCUUGGGUGUCACGUGUGGUGGUCACAGCCACCAGCCUGCCCCGCCGUGGCUAUCUCUGUCCCUCCCUCCACUCCCCCGCCCCACCCCUGCCCACAUCCUGACCCCCUGCUGGUCUUGUAGGAGCUUCUCCAGGGAUGCAGAGGUCGCCAGGUCCCAGGCAGAGGCAGACUUGGCCCCGGGUGCCGGGAGCGGGGGGUCCAGGGGAGAGCCCGACAUGGAUCGGGUGUGGGGGUCAGGGUCUGACGGGGAGUCCCAGCAUUCAGGGGGCCCGGUGACCUGUCAGACAGGGAGGGGGGGCCUCUGUGCAGUGGGACCCAUCCAAAAGGGGUUGCCUGGGCGGGGAGGGGGGUGCUGCAUGGGAGUCCUGGCAGGGGACAGCGUUCACAAAGCACGAGGCAGGCAAGAGCAGGUGCCUUCUGGGACUGCAGGAACGGUGGGCCGAGGGGUGGCUCACAGAGUAAGGUCAGUCCUUACUGGCCCCAGAGGACCGUGCCACCCGGAAGGAGAAGCAGCGGGCUAACCCCGCCCCCCCCACCAGGAUGGCACCCUCGGAGUUUUCAUAGUUUGGGGCCCAUGGCGGUGGCCAUGCGGGGCCCUGCCGAGCAUUUAUCAUGGAAAACAACUGAAGCCUUUGACCUACAGGUACCGGGCCGAAAGUUAAUCAUUAAGGAAUGGGGCACAGAUUCAGCCAGAAGUCCACUCACCCAGCCUUGACGCAGGAAGGAGAAAGGUCAGACAAUCCUAAACACCCACCAGGAGGCAACGGGUUACGUAAAUCAGGGUCCCUUCAGGCAACAGAACAUUGCGUCACCCUGGAAAUGGCGCAGGGGCCCUGGGCUCUCAGACCCGAGCUUGGUCCGUUCUAACGGAGAAGCGGGUGCCCCAGGGUCCCGGAGGAGGUCUGCCCCAGGACACAGGGGCCACGGAGGUGCCCCUCGGGAAGUCCAAGGCGCUGGGGAAAACCAGUCUUUCUGGGGCCCAAGGGAAGCCUGUCUUUACCACGACGGUUAGACCAUCUCUGUGAUGUAGCAUCAGAACGAACACACAGCAUUUCGGGCUUCACUGCCAACUGCGGGUCCCCGAGAAUGGGACUGAGGACUCUGGUUCUACUGAGAGAAGCAGGUCAGGGAGCGGGGGGGGGGGCUGAGCCGCACUCCAUCCACACGCACGUGUGCAAACAGCACUCGCGGCUGACACGACAGGCGCUCCCUUCUCCGGGUUCCGGAGCCAGGACGCUGGAGGUCAGGGUCGGCUCCUGGUGAGAACUCCCCGGGCUUGCAGACGGCCGCCUUCUCUGGGUGCGCGCACCUGUGGGGAGAGGUGGGGAGACAGAGAGGGGGGGAGAACCGGGGGCACUAACCCCAUCACCCCCAGUCCCCUCCCAGCAGCAUCACCUGGGGGGUUAGAGCUCAAGCUGUGGAGCUGGGGACGGGACUCGGGCCACAGUAAGGCUUCCCCCCUUUUACGAAAAGCGGUCACGGGUACAGUCGGCUGAAGAUGAGCUAACUACACACACGGGAGGUUUACACACACACAUACACACGCGCCCCUUAAAAAAGUCCCCUGAAAUCACAGGGAGGUUUGCCAAAGUAUCCCCCUGUGGCACCCCCAAAACCAUGACAGCCAUGCUUAUUCUGGGUCGGUCUGUCGCGCCCACGUGGUUCUCUGCGGGUUCCCGGUGGCCCUCUCUGCCAGAGUCAGGCCAGGAGGCCGGUGCCCCUGCGGGACAGAGCUGGACCCAGGUCCCCGCCCUGGGCUUCUAGCUGCGCCCUGGGCUGGGAGAGAGUCACCCGAGCCAGGGGCCAGGACUCCUACCUCCCUCGCGCCCCCUUCCUAAGGAAUAAAGCCAACUUUGGGUCACUUAAAAAUGCCGAAAUACAAACGCGUCAUUACAAAGCGGACAGGGGCCCCCUCCUCCUCCCGAGCCCAUCCCCCAAGGGGAGCGCGGUUAACCAGCCUGCUUCCGGACACAAACACGCACACGUUGUGCCGGUGCGGCCGCACGCGCACCACGGGCUCGCCGCCCACGCACACGGAGGCACGCACGUCUGUUCGUCACAAACACGGUAUCAUUGUACACGGAGCGCUUUGCGAUUUGCUUUUGUCGUUGUAGCGGGUUGAGCAGUGCCCCCGCGCGGCAGUUAUGUCCGCCUGGAACCCGAGUGUGACCUUUGUGAUCUUGGCAGAAGUGCUCGAGGAUCUGGAGGGGAGAUCGCCCCGGAUCACCUGGACGGGCCCUGCUCCCAGCCGCUGCCCUUGCAAGAGGAGAGGACACCGCGGGGAUCGGGCUG